rnacentral:rRNA from 1 species
UACGGGGGGUGCGAGCGUUGUCCGGAAUCACUGAGCGUAAAGGGCGCGUAGGUGGUUUGAUAAGGGUGUGGUGAAAGUCCGGGGCUCAACCCCGGAUCUGCCGUGCCGACUGUCAAACUCGAGGACUGUAGAGGCAGACGGAAUUCCGGGUGUAGCGGUGGAAUGCGCAGAUAUCAGGAGGAACACCGGUGGCGAAGGCGGUUCUCUGGGCCUUACCUGACGCUGAGGAGCGAAAGCAUGGGGAGCAAACAGG